UACGGAGGAUGCGAGCGUUAUCCGGAUUUAUUGGGUUUAAAGGGUGCGUAGGCGGACAGUCAAGUCAGCGGUAAAAUUGAGAGGCUCAACCUCUUCCCGCCGUUGAAACUGGUGGUCUUGAGUGGAUGAGAAGUACGCGGAAUGCGUGGUGUAGCGGUGAAAUGCAUAGAUAUCACGCAGAACUCCGAUUGCGAAGGCAGCGUACCGGCAUCCAACUGACGCUGAGGCACGAAAGCGUGGGGAUCAAACAGG
rnacentral:rRNA from 1 species